rnacentral:lncRNA from 1 species
CAUGUAAUGAUGUUGUCUAUGAUGUUACAACACAAAGUAAAGCACUAGGCUUCAGAGGUCACUCUACAAAAAGUCUCCUUUACCUACUGAACUAAAAUCUAAUUCCUUUAAAGAAAAUAGUUUUUUUUUAACAAAUCAGCUAUGCCAAACACUGAUUUUUUCUCUAUUAUAAGCUAACUUUUAAAAUGUCAUUUUAGAUGAUCAUUCCAAAUACUUUUCCUAUUUAAAACACCUUAAAAUGUCCCUAAGAUAAAGUUCUUUACCUUUUUUUUAAUUGGUUCUUUUUAGUUACACAUUACUAUACAAUAUACUAUGGCAUAUUUAUAGAAGCAUGGGAUAUAAUUUGUUUUAAUUCAGUCCCCAGUAUUUGUCUUUCCCCUCCCUUUCUCCUACCACCUGUUCCCUUUCCUUUACUCUAUUGAUCUUUCUGCUAUUUACUUAUAGUUUUCUUGUGCUUUUUUAAAAUUAGUGUCAUGUGGAUGUAUAUGAUAGUGAGAUUCACUAUAGUAUAUUCAUACAUGCACAUAGGAAAGUUAUGUCAAAUUCACUCCACUGACUUUUCCUACCCCAUCCCUCCUUUCUUCAUUUUAUUCUUCUUUGUUUAUUCCUUUGAUCUUCAUUGUUUUAAUCCACUCCCCUUGUUUUGGAUUAGCUUCUGCAUAUCAAAGAAGUAUUUAAUCUUUGUUUUUCUGUGGAUGGCUUAUUUCACUUAGCAUGAUUGUCUUCAGUUCCAUCCGUUUGCCAGCAAAUGCCAUAAUUUCAUUUUUCUUUUUAGCUGAGUAACACUCACUGUCUAUAUAUCACACUUUCUUUAUCCAUUCAUCUAUUGAAGGGAACCUGGGUUGACUCCAUAGCUUAGCUAAUGUGAAUGGUGCAGCUGUAAACACUGAUGUGGCUGUCACUGUAGUAUGCUGAUUUUAAGUCCUUUGGGUAUAUACUGAGGAGUGGGAUAGCUGGGUUAUAUGGUGGUUCUAUUCCUAGUUUUUUGAGGAAACUCCAUACUGUUUUCUAGAGCAGUUACACUAAUUUGCCACCCCACUAAGAAUGUAUGAUUGUACCCUUUCCCCCCACAUCCUUGCCAACAUUUGUUGUUACUUGUAUUUUUGAUAGUUACCGUUCUGACUAGAGUGAGAUGAAAUCUCAGUAUAGUUUUGAUUUGCAUUUCUCUAAUUGAAAUGUUGAACAUUUUUCAUAUACUUAUUGAUAUUUCAUAUUUUUUUCUUUUGAGAAAUGUCUGUUUAGUUCCUUUGCCCGUUUAUUGAUUGGUUUAUUUGUUUUUUUUUAUUU